ACGGAGGUGGCGAGCGUUGUUCGGAUUUACUGGGCGUAAAGGGCGCGUAGGCGGCGGAGUGUGUCGGGUGUGAAAUCCCAGGGCCCAACCCUGGAAGUGCGCCCGAAACUGCUCCGCUGGAGUGCGGGAGGGGAGAUCGGAAUACAUGGUGUAGCGGUGAAAUGCGUUGAUAUCAUGUGGAACACCGGUGGCGAAGGCGGAUCUCUGGAACGCAACUGACGCUGAGGCGCGAAAGCCGGGGGACCAAACAG
rnacentral:rRNA from 1 species